rnacentral:rRNA from 1 species
GAUGAACGCUAGCGGUAGACUUAACACAUGCAAGUCGAGGGGCAGCAUAAACAUUGCUUGCAAUGUUUGUAUGGCGACCGGCGCACGGGUGCGUAACGCGUAUGUAACCUACCUCAAACAGGGGCAUAACACUGAGAAAUUGGUACUAAUUCCCCAUAACACUUUGGGAGGCAUCUCCUGGAGUUGAAAGUUCCGGCGGUUUGAGAUGGACAUGCGUUGUAUUAGCUAGUUGGUGAGGUAACGGCUCACCAAGGCGACGAUACAUAGGGGGACUGAGAGGUUAACCCCCCACAUUGGUACUGAGACACGGACCAA